ACAGCUUGAUGGUGGCCAAAGCCAACAAUAUUGAGUACAUUGCUUUUCCUGCCAUAUCUUGUGGUAAUAACUUGUAUCCUUUAAAGAAAGCUGCAACAGUGGCUAUAUCUACGGUCAAAGAAUUUGCGAAUGACUUCAAAGAGGUGCACUUUGUUUUGUUUUUGGAUGAUGUUUACAAGGAUUGGUUGGACAAGACAAGGGAAUUGCUCCUACAUUAGCUUGGUUCAAGUAUCCACUUCUGAUUUUGUAGAAUAAAUUUUAAGUUCAAUUAUCAAAUCCGAAUACAAAUAUGCUGUUCAUUGUCAUGUUACAGUAACCUACAAUUGAACAAAAUAAACUUUUAUUUAUUUAUAUUUGGAACAAAAUCUUCUUGUCGUUUGAUUUGAUAUCCUUUUAUAUUCAGUGCAACUCUAUUGAAAAACUGUAUCAUUUUUUUGAUAAGAAAAUG
rnacentral:misc_RNA from 1 species